GACGUAGGGGACGAGCGUUGUCCGAAUUUAUUGGGCGUAAAGCGCGCGUAGGCGGCUUGGAAAGUCGGAUGUGAAAAUCCGGGGCUCAACCCCGGACCUGCAUCCGAUACUUCCAGGCUAGAGGUAGGUAGGGGAGAUCGGAAUUCCUGGUGUAGCGGUGAAAUGCGCAGAUAUCAGGAGGAACACCGGUGGCGAAGGCGGAUCUCUGGGCCUUACCUGACGCUGAGGCGCGAAAGCUAGGGGAGCGAACAGG
rnacentral:rRNA from 1 species